rnacentral:sRNA from 1 species
CUGCUCUGAACCUAGCAACCAGAUCAGUAACACCAGUACAAGUGAUGACCUACGUCACUGCCAGCUGCUGAACCUGCCAGACCUCGACCAGUCCCAAGAUUACGUCAGAUCCAAGAUAGUGGGUCUUCUGGAUCGCCUGGUGGAUCAUGGAUCUGUCGGAUUCCGGGUGGAUGCUGCCAAACAUAUACACCCAGCGGAUCUGAAAUACAUUUAUGACAACGUCAAGGACGUUCUCCCUGGAGGAAGGCCAGCGUUUAUUAAUGAAGUUGUGAAUACAA